rnacentral:rRNA from 1 species
CGGAGCUUGCUCUGGUGGCGAGUGGCGAACGGGUGAGUAAUAUAUCGGAACGUACCCUGGAGUGGGGGAUAACGUAGCGAAAGUUACGCUAAUACCGCAUAAGAUCUACGGAUGAAAGUGGGGGAUCGCAAGACCUCAUGCUCGUGGAGCGGCCGAUAUCUGAUUAUCUAGUUGGUAGGGUAAAAGCCUACCAAGGCAUCGAUCACUAGCUGGUCUGAGAGGACGACCAGCCACACUGGAACUGAGACACGGUCCAGACUCCUACGGGAGGCAGCAGUGGGGAAUUUUGGACAAUGGGCGCAAGCCUGAUCCAGCAAUGCCGCGUGAGUGAAAAAAGCCUUCGGGUUGUAAAGCUCUUUUGUCAGGGAAGAAACGGUGAGAGCUAAUAUCUUUUGCUAAUGACGGUACCUGAAAAAUAAGCACCGGCUAACUACGUGCCAGCACCCGCGGUAAUACAUAGGGUGCAAGCGUUAAUCGGAAUUACUGGGCGUAAAGCGUGCGCAGGCGGUUUUGUAAGUCUGAUGUGAAAUCCCCGGGCUCAACCUGGGAAAUGCAUUGGAGACUGCGAGGCUAGAAUCUGGCAGAGAGGGGUAGAAUUCCCCGUGUACAUUGAAAUGCGUAUAUAUGUGGAGGAACACCCGAUGGCGAAAGCAGCCCCCCUGGGUCAAAAAUUGACACUCAUGC